UGCAGCAGUGGCUCCGUCCUCCCGUCACCAACGAGCGUCAAACUAUACCUUCAGAAUCCUCUUCCCUUCCUCUUUCCAACCCUCAAGUUAGUUUCUCCAAAUUUGUAGCCGAAUUUUCUCAAUUUCAGAUCUAAGAAACGGUGACCAUAGGUAUUCCGGCCAAUUUCCAGCAAAGUCUGCCUGAAUUGGACCUCAACCAAGAGAUUGGGGACAAGGAAGGUGAAUCAAGGUUGUUUCCAACCUGGGCCGAGAAGAAUGGAAGCCUUGGAAGGUUGUGGGUGAAACUAAGGUGAAGAGGGUUCUUCUAAAAAAAUUAAGAUCAAAGAAGGAAGUUCAAUUUAUCAAGGAUCAAGGUUUGGACUGCUAGACAGCGCGUCGCCUUCGGUUUGAGGUAUGGAAUUAGUCUCGUGCUUGCAAUCUGGCCGCUUACGUGUUUAAAUUUAUGGUUUAUCAAUAUGCUCAAGAUUUGGUUAGCAGGUAGUUAUGCAAACAAAUUAAAGUUCCUUUAAGCAUAUGGUUGGUAGUCUUGGUGCCCUCCAGAUUUGUGUAAAAAUCUAGAGCCAUCUGCAUGGUCCUAUGCUAAUGAGCUGCAAGUAAAACUUCAGUAACAAUGUGUUUUUGUAUUUCUUUCUAGCGAUCAGCUCUUUGUGCUCGAAAUUUGGCGAUCA